rnacentral:rRNA from 1 species
GCAGUCGAGCGGUAGAGAGAAGCUUGCUUCUCUUGAGAGCGGCGGACGGGUGAGUAAUGCCUAGGAAUCUGCCUGGUAGUGGGGGAUAACGUUCGGAAACGGACGCUAAUACCGCAUACGUCCUACGGGAGAAAGCAGGGGACCUUCGGGCCUUGCGCUAUCAGAUGAGCCUAGGUCGGAUUAGCUAGUUGGUGGGGUAAUGGCUCACCAAGGCGACGAUCCGUAACUGGUCUGAGAGGAUGAUCAGUCACACUGGAACUGAGACACGGUCCAGACUCCUACGGGAGGCAGCAGUGGGGAAUAUUGGACAAUGGGCGAAAGCCUGAUCCAGCCAUGCCGCGUGUGUGAAGAAGGUCUUCGGAUUGUAAAGCACUUUAAGUUGGGAGGAAGGGCAGUAAAUUAAUACUUUGCUGUUUUGACGUUACCGACAGAAUAAGCACCGGCUAACUCUGUGCCAGCAGCCGCGGUAAUACAGAGGGUGCAAGCGUUAAUCGGAAUUACUGGGCGUAAAGCGCGCGUAGGUGGUUAGUUAAGUUGGAUGUGAAAUCCCCGGGCUCAACCUGGGAACUGCAUUCAAAACUGACUGACUAGAGUAUGGUAGAGGGUGGUGGAAUUUCCUGUGUAGCGGUGAAAUGCGUAGAUAUAGGAAGGAACACCAGUGGCGAAGGCGACCACCUGGACUGAUACUGACACUGAGGUGCGAAAGCGU